AUUGCAAGUUUCCGUGCAAUGCCCAACACUCUUAUGUUCCGUCCUGCUGAUGGCAACGAAACAGCUGGUGCAUACAAGAUCGCUGUCACCAAGCGUAAGACACCAUCUAUCCUAGCUCUGUCUAGGCAAAAGCUGCCUCAUCUUCCAGGUACAUCCAUUGAAGGAGUUGAAAAGGGAGGAUAUACAAUUUCGGACGACUCUGCAGGCAACAAACCCGAUGUGAUUUUGAUUGGAACUGGAUCUGAGCUAGAGAUUGCUGCACAGGCUGCGGAGGUGCUUAGGAAAGAAGGCAAAACCGUUAGAGUUGUAUCUUUCGUGUGCUGGGAGCUAUUUGACGAGCAAUCAGAUGAAUACAAGGAGAGUGUGUUGCCAUCAGCUGUAUCAGCUAGAGUUAGCAUCGAAGCAGCUUCGACUUUCGGAUGGGGAAAGAUUGUUGGAGGCAAAGGAAAGUCCAUUGGUAUUAACUCUUUUGGGGCCAGCGCACCAGCACCGUUGCUGUACAAGGAGUUUGGUAUAACCGUUGAAGCUGUUGUUGAUGCGGCUAAGUCAUUAUUCUAAGAGAUUUAAAAUCAGACCAUAGUCUCUGCUGUCUGAAAC
rnacentral:lncRNA from 1 species